UUAUGUAGUAACAUAUAGGGGGGGUAGAGCACUGAAUGGGCUAGGGCUGCUUACCGCGGUACCAAACCCUAUCAAACUUCGAAUACUAUAUGCGUAAUCAUAGGAGUCAGGCGUAGGGUGAUAAAAUCCUAUGUCGAGAGGGGGGGAACAACCCAGACUAACAGCUAAGGUCCCUAAGUUACAUCUAAGUGGAAAACGAUGUGGAGUUACUGUGACAACCAGGAGGUUGGCUUAGAAGCAGCCACCCUUUAAAGAAAGCGUAACAGCUCACUGGUCUAGUGAUUCUGCGCGGAAAAUAUAACGGGGGGGCUAAGAUGUACACCGAAGCUUUAGACUUGAUUUUAUCAAGUGGUAGGAGAGCGUUCUAUUCAGCGUUGAAGAUGUACCGGUAAGGAGCGUUGGAGCGGAUAGAAGUGAGCAUGCAGGCAUGAGUAGCGAGAAUUAAGGUGAGAAUCCUUAACGCCGAAAACCCAAGGUUUCCUACGCGAUGCUCGUCAUCGUAGGGUUAGUCGGGUCCUAAGUCGAGUCCGAAAGGGGGGGUAGACGAUGGCAAAUUGGUUAAUAUUCCAAUACCAACAAAUAAGCGCGAUGUGGGGGGGACGCAUAGAGUUAAUCGAGCUCACUGAUGGAAUAGUGGGUCGAAGGAUGUAGGUUGUAUCUUAGGCAAAUCCGGGAUACAUUCGACCGAGAUCUUACAGGCCGUUGACGCUUCGGGGGGGAAGAUUCGGAAUCGAUGAUACUGUCGUGCCAAGAAAAGCCACUAAGUAUAUUAUUUGUUGCCCGUACCGUAAACCGACACAGGUGGGUGGGAUGAGUAUUCUAAGGCGCGUGGAAGAACCCUGGUUAAGGAACUCUGCAAACUAGCACCGUAUCUUCGGUAUAAGGUGUGCCUACUUCUGUAUAGAGAUUUACUCUCGAAAGCGGAAGAGGUUGCAACAAAGAGUCCCUCCCGACUGUUUACCAAAAACACAGCACUUUGCUAACACGUAAGUGGAUGUAUAAGGUGUGACGCCUGCCCGGUGCUCGAAGGUUAAUUGAUGAUGUUAGCGUAUGCGAAGCAUUUGAUCGAAGCCCGAGUAAACGGCGGCCGUAACUAUAACGGUCCUAAGGUAGCGAAAUUCCUUGUCGGUUAAAUACCGACCUGCAUGAAUGGCGUAACGAGAUGGGAGCUGUCUCAACCAGGGAUCCAGUGAAAUUGUAGUGGAGGUGAAAAUUCCUCCUACCCGCGGAAAGACGGAAAGACCCCCCCGUGCACCUUUACUACAGCUUGACACUGUAGCUUGGAUAUUCAUGUGCAGGAUAGGUGGGAGGCUUUGAAACUAGGACGCCAGUACUAGUGGAGCCAUCCUUGAGAUACCACCCUUGAAUAUUUGAGUUACUAACUGCGACGAGUUAUCCUCGUUCAGGACAAUGUCUGGUGGGUAGUUUGACUGGGGGGGCGGUCGCCUCCUAAAAAGUAACGGAGGCUUACAAAGGUUAGUUCAUGGCGGUUGGAAAUCGCCAGUUGAGUAUAAUGGCAUAAACUAGCUUGACUGUGAGACAUACAAGUCGAA
rnacentral:rRNA from 1 species